CUCAGCCUUCAGCAUGUCCCAGAUGUUGCAGGUAAAGUCGUCGUAGCCAACCAGGAGGAGGCGUCCAGAAAGUGAGGGUGCGAGGGAGGUGACUCCGCUCAUGAGGCUCGAGUCCUGGCAAUGCUGAAGUGCAGAAGAACGAGGUGCUCACCAGAUUGUAGAUAGAGCACAUGUUAUCCAAGCCACCACAUGCCACCAGGUUUCCUGAGGGGGCGUACGCACACGUCAUCACCCAUGAAGACUUCAGCGGGAUGGCAUUCACCUGGAACAUGGGCAUGGGGCAAAGAUUGUAUAGUUCAGACUGGAGAUACUAACAGAGAUCUGGUUCUUGAGGUUCUCCACCUCCUUCCGAAGUUGCGCCAUUUCACCCAUGGCAACAGUUGUCAGGCGCAGCCACCAACGAAGAUGAACAGGAAGUGAGAUCAGAAUAUAAUUAAAUGUCCAGAGGGAAGACAAGCAACACAGGUAAUACUCAGCGUAAUUCAUUAUUAUAGCUAAAUCUUACCUUAUAAAGCGAGGUCACUUUUUCUGCUAUUGCCGUUUAAAUGUGUUAGUGUCUCUAGCGAGCUCUUAUGACCAAAUGAGUUUGCCUAAAAUUUGUUUGAGGAGGGGGAGUGGGAGAAGGUGCAGGCUGGGUUAGA